rnacentral:RNase_MRP_RNA from 2 species
GGACCAGAAGACGACGUGAGUGGGCGAGUGGGCUUGGGGCUGAUUUUGUUGGUCCGGCCCAGGAAAGUCCCCGGGCUUUUAUCUGCAGAGAUGCAGGCCCGGAAACGGGUGAAAGUUGAUGUUGAAAUCUAAAUCUCUAUUGGGCUGAGACGAGGUGGAGCUUUAGAUUUGGACACAAUUAAAUUUGGCCGAUACACAGUUAUUCACGUGGUCCAUUAUUGGAUUAACUGAACGGGGCUUACAAUCUUCUGGUC